rnacentral:lncRNA from 1 species
UCCUGCGUGGGGUGCUGACAGGUUAGACGCUGCACGGGAAAAACUCGUGACAUGGCAACAGAAACCGUCUCUAAAGAAACGUGGAAAACCUUAAAGGGAAAAGCCUUUGUAAGCGGUGAGACAACAUCCGGCAGUUGAGUACAUGGGUCCUGGAACUGCUGAAAGGGAGCAAGGAAGAAAAAUAUCUGUAGAAUAAUUGCUGAAAAAUGUUAAACUUGAUGAAACGCCGCAGAUCCGAGAUGCUCAACACGGCUGAGCAAAGAAACACAGCAUCACUCCACCAAGGCAUCCCAUCACGAAACACCUCAAAAGCAGCCAGAAAAGGGAAGCUGUGGAAAGAGAAAUGAAGACGCUCUGACAGGAGGGUCCCCAGGAG